CAGUCGCCGCGGGAAUACGGAGGGUGCAAGCGUUAUCCGGAUUUAUUGGGUUUAAAGGGUCCGUAGGCGGAUCUGUAAGUCAGUGGUGAAAUCUCACAGCUUAACUGUGAAACUGCCAUUGAUACUGCAGGUCUUGAGUAAAUUUGAAGUGGCUGGAAUAAGUAGUGUAGCGGUGAAAUGCAUAGAUAUUACUUAGAACACCAAUUGCGAAGGCAGGUCACUAAGAUUUAACUGACGCUGAUGGACGAAAGCGUGGGGAGCGAACAGGAUUAGAUACCCCAGUAGUCCCUGUCUCUUAUAU
rnacentral:rRNA from 1 species